AAUCCCACACGCAACCAUAGGCAGACCAACACCUGACUGCUCAUCGGAAGCAACAGAGGCCACAGGACAAUGGAAUACAACAUACGAUAAAUAUGGAAAUUGUUGUAUAUAUCCAUGGCCCGAUGAAGCUUGUUCUGAAACACACCAGCAGGGCACACGGGAUACAGUCACCUUGCUAGGUUGUGAGCAGACAUCCUGGUAGAGGGAGCAGAGCAUUGCACGGUUGUCACGACCAGCCCACGAGUGAGUGGGAGAAGGAUCCGACCUCUCUCCCCAUUUAAAGCAAGGGAGCCAGGAUUUGAAUGGAUGUGAUGUGGUCUCUCAGCCUCUGAGCUCCAAGACAUACUUCUGCCUAAAGGAGCUGGGCCUGCUGGUGUCAAAGAACCCUGCAGAAACUGCCUCAUGGAUGCCCACUGCAUUAGUUGGCCUUCAGUUCCCCGAGCCCCUGCUGCUUAGAUUGGCCUCCUCUGGAACACUCUCCCUGGGCCCUACCCUGCAGGGAAGUCUCUAGAAAUGCUGGAAUGUACUCUGCCUGGCUGAGGACUGGGCAUGGCCCACCCCCAGGCACUGGCUAAUGAAACAGUCUAGGCCUUGCCUCCAGGAAGCUCACUCACACAGCCCAUGCCAGGAGAGGUGAGGAGGUACAAAAUCAUGGUGAGAAGAAUUCCAGGAUCGCACCUGUGCCAAGGGGCACACAGUGGGUGGAAGCUGGUGUGUGUCAGGAGUGGGGGUGUCCUGCAGCAGGGAUGAGAACAGAGAACUAAAAAAAUAAAAGCACACUUUGCUCUGUGAAGAAGGAGGAGGGGGCAAGGAAAGGGUAGGGGAGAAACAGGGUCCCAAAAGAGCUGGAAGAGAUCACAAAGUCAAUGGGAGGAGGAGGCUGCAGGGACGCUGCCCCAGAAUCUCAAAACUUAGAGGAAGCAGAGAUGCCUGGCACCACCCAUGAACCACUCACUCCUGGUUCUUCCAGGCUUCGCUUCUUGAAGCCUUUCCUUCCUAUUCCCUGCCCUGUGUGAGGAUGAGAAACCAGACAAAGAUGGGCCAGCUGCGGGGUGCAGGGCUGAAGGCAGCGUUUGGCAGAGCUUUACCACAAGCCAGCCACUCAGGUGGGAGGGAGAAGAGCCAGCGGAGAUGAUGCCCCGGCUCUGAGAGGCAGGGCGGAAUCUACGCUGCUCUGUUGGGCCGCCUGACGCCAAACCACGUGAAUGCCGCUCAGUGGCAGAGUCAGCCACUUGAGAUCACUACAGAAGAGACAGGCCCAGCUUUCCAGUGUAACAAAAAGCACCUUCAGAGUCCAGGCCUAAAUCGACGGCCGCUCCUUGUCUCCAUUUACCCAGGGCACAGGGAAGCUGGCUUCUCUGCCCAUAGGGCCACCAGGCCGAAAUCUAGGAGUUGGCCUCGACCUCAGCUUGUGUCUAGAUUUUGAGGGCCUCUCUUAAGCAUAAUGGUUGCUGGCAGAGUGCAUUUCUUUGAAGUCCAUGGAGUCAGAGGAAACACCAGUGCCAUCCACUGUCAGGCUCACCGAGGAGAAUCACAGAAGAAAAGGGGUCUGCCUGGUUGUUCUCAGAGCUGUGCCCUGAGCAUUUGGCCGGUCCCUGGCAGGCACGGGCAUCGGUGUUUUGCCAAUAAAGAAUUAGUCUGAAUGUUUUCAACAAAGUGUCUUACUGGGGUAUUUGAUAUGUGUGCCAAAUGGCUCCCCCUUUCACCUUCCCGUGACCACCAAAUAUACAGCUAAACUGCUGACGUUUAGCUGCUCUUCGCUGAGCACCUGCUCUGGGCAGGCCUUGUUCUCUACUGCUGGGCACACCACACAGACCACACAGAACUCCGUCCAGGGGUGAGACCUUGCCUCUGAUAGCUGAAGCACCUGUACUGCGUGAAACCUCGUCGUUCCCACCAGCACAGCCGCCAGCCAACCCCAGGUAGCGUCAGACUCCCAACGUCACUCCUGCUCAUUUCUCCCAUGAGAGCUGAGAACUGGGACACAAGAGAAGCCAGCAGAAACAGCAAGACAGCUUCUCCCUCAGUUCCUUGCUUGGGCCUACCCUGGGACUCCCGUGGAACAGCUCUUUUGGCUCCACCUUUGUUCACCUUCACGGGAAAUAGGCUCACAGGCACUAUUCCGACUGGCCAGCUGUGCUGCUGCUGCUCCCAUUUCGCCAGCAGGCUACGCCAUGACCCACCCUACGGAGGACAGACUCCUCAACCUGGCAGCUUCACGGUGGAAACCGUAGUUCCACUGCCCAAACUCUACAAGUCCAGGCAGGCACUGAGCUGCUGAGCUGUCUCCAUGAGGUCGAGGACCAGUGUCAGCUAGCCGAGUCCUACCCAGCUCUCCGAGCAUUGAGGAUCUGGAAGACCCGGGCUGGGCUCAUCUUGAAGUAACUGUUCAGAUGGCGUAAGCCAAACGUGGACGGUCUGCUCGUUAACCACACGUGAGCCUGGCUCGGUAUUGCUUCGUGCUCUGUGGGGUGAGGGAGGUCCAGUGGAAUGCACACGAGGCAGGCGGUCGGUCCCCCACUGGCUCGCCAAAAACCUCAGCAUUUUCGCUUCAGGGUUUUUGUGUGUUUGUUUGUUUGUAACGAAAAAU